CGCGUAGGCGGCAGUGUAUGUCAGAUGUGAAAUACUCCGGCUCAACCAGAGAACAGCAUCUGAAACUGCACAGCUAGAGUACAGAAGAGGGAAACGGAAUUCCCGGUGUAGAGGUGAAAUUCGUAGAUAUCGGGAGGAACACCAGUGGCGAAGGCGGUUUCCUGGUCUGAUACUGACGCUGAGGCGCGAAAGCGUGGGGAGCAAACAG
rnacentral:rRNA from 1 species